AACGAACGCUGGCGGCAUGCCUAACACAUGCAAGUCGAACGAGACCUUCGGGUCUAGUGGCGCACGGGUGCGUAACGCGUGGGAACCUGCCUUUAGGUUCGGAAUAACUCAGAGAAAUUUGAGCUAAUACCGGAUGAUGUCUUCGGACCAAAGAUUUAUCGCCUUUAGAUGGGCCCGCGUUGGAUUAGCUAGUUGGUGGGGUAAAGGCCUACCAAGGCGACGAUCCAUAGCUGGUCUGAGAGGAUGAUCAGCCACACUGGGACUGAGACACGGUCCAGACUCCUACGGGAGGCAGCAGUGGGGAAUAUUGGACAAUGGGCGAAAGCCUGAUCCAGCAAUGCCGCGUGAGUGAUGAAGGCCUUAGGGUUGUAAAGCUCUUUUACCCGAGAUGAUAAUGACAGUAUCGGGAGAAUAAGCUCCGGCUAACUCCGUG
rnacentral:rRNA from 1 species